GACGAACGCUGGCGGCGUGCUUAACACAUGCAAGUCGAACGGAAAGGCCCUGCUUUUGUGGGGUGCUCGAGUGGCGAACGGGUGAGUAACACGUGAGUAACCUGCCCUUGACUUUGGGAUAACUUUAGGAAACUGGGGCUAAUACCGGAUAGGAGCUCCUGCUGCAUGGUGGGGGUUGGAAAGUUUCGGCGGUUGGGGAUGGACUCGCGGCUUAUCAGCUUGUUGGUGGGGUAGUGGCUUACCAAGGCUUUGACGGGUAGCCGGCCUGGGAGGGUGACCGGCCACAUUGGGACUGAGAUACGGCCCAGACUCCUACGGGAGGCAGCAGUGGGGAAUAUUGCACAAUGGGCGGAAGCCUGAUGCAGCAACGCCGCGUGCGGGAUGACGGCCUUCGGGUUGUAAACCGCUUUCGCCUGUGACGAAGCGUGAGUGACGGUAAUGGGUAAAGAAGCACCGGCUAACUACGUG
rnacentral:rRNA from 1 species